rnacentral:rRNA from 1 species
AGAGUUUGAUCAUGGCUCAGGAUGAACGUUGGCGGCGUGCCUAAUACAUGCAAGUCGAACGAAGACUGUAGUAAUACUGUCUUAGUGGCGAACGGGUGAGUAACGCGUGGGUGACCUGCCCCGAAGUGUGGGAUAACAGUCCGAAAGGAUUGCUAAUACUGCAUAAUAUCCAAGAGAUUAGAUGCUUUUGGAUUAAAGGAGUAAUUCGCUUCGGGAGGGGCCCGCGUCCCAUCAGCUAGUUGGUAAGGUAAUGGCUUACCAAGGCGAUGACGGGUAGGGGACCUGAGAGGGUGGCCCCCCACAAUGGAACUGAAACACGGUCCAUACACCUACGGGUGGCAGCAGUAGGGAAUAUUAGUAAUGGGCGAAAGCCUGAACUAGCAACGCCGCGUGUGCGAAGAAGGCCUUCGGGUCGUAAAGCACUUUUUGAGAGGAUGAGGAAGGACGGUACUCUCAGAAUAAGUCUCGGCUAACUACGUG